GGCCCCACACUCCUUACGGGAGGCAGCAGUGGGGAAUAUUGCACAGUGGGCGGAAGCCUGAUGCAGCGACGCCGCGUGAGGGAUGACGGCCUUCGGGGUUGUAAACCUCUUUCAAGCAGGGAAGAAGCGCGAGUGACGGUACCUGCAGAAGAAGCACCGGCUAACUACGUGCCAGCACCCGCGGUAAUACGUAGGGUGCGAGCGUUGUCCAGAAUUAUUGGGCGUAAAGAGCUCGUACGCGGCUUGUCGCGUCAGAUGUGAAAGCCCGGGGCUUAUCUCCGGGUCUGCAUUCUAUACGGGCAGGCUAGAGUGUGAUAGGAGAUGAUCAGAAUUCGUGGUGUAGCGGUGAAAUGCGCAUAUAUCAAGAAGAACACCGGUGGAGAGGGCAGAUCUCUGGGCCAUUACUGACUCUGAAGAGCGAAAGCGUGGAGAGCGAACAAGAUUAGAUACCCUGGUAGUCCACGCCGUACACGUUGAGCACUAUGUGUUGGCGACAUUCCACGUCGUCGGUGCCGCAGCUAACGCAUUAAGUUCCCCGCCUGGAGACUACGGCCGCAGCGCUAAAUCCUCAAAGGUAUUGACGGGCGCCCGCACAAGCAGCAGAUCAUGUGUCUUAUUUCGACGCCACGCAGAAGAUCCUUACCACGGGUUUGACAUACACCGGAAAACUCUAGAGACAGGGUCCCCUUUGUGGCCGGUGUACAGGUGGUCCAUGGCUGUCGUCAGCUCCGUGUCGUGAGAUGUUGGGUUAAGUCCCGCAACGAGCGCAACCCCUGUCCCGUGUUGCCAGCAGGCCCUUGUGGUGCUGGGGACUCACGGGAGACCGCCGGGGUCAACUCGAAGGAAGGUGGGGACGACGUCAAGUCAUCAUGCCCUUUAUGUCUUUGGCUCCCCGCAAAGG
rnacentral:rRNA from 1 species